rnacentral:rRNA from 1 species
UGGGGAAUUUUGGACAAUGGGCGAAAGCCUGAUCCAGCAAUGCCGCGUGUGUGAAGAAGGCCUUCGGGUUGUAAAGCACUUUUGUCCGGAAAGAAAUCCUUGGCUCUAAUACAGUCGGGGGAUGACGGUACCGGAAGAAUAAGCACCGGCUAACUACGUGCCAGCAGCCGCGGUAAUACGUAGGGUGCAAGCGUUAAUCGGAAUUACUGGGCGUAAAGCGUGCGCAGGCGGUUUGCUAAGACCGAUGUGAAAUCCCCGGGCUCAACCUGGGAACUGCAUUGGUGACUGGCAGGCUAGAGUACGGCAGAGGGGGGUAGAAUUCCACGUGUAGCAGUGAAAUGCGUAGAGAUGUGGAGGAAUACCGAUGGCGAAGGCAGCCCCCUGGGCCAAUACUGACGCUCAUGCACGAAAGCGUGGGGAGCAAACAGGAUUAGAUACCCUGGUAGUCCACGCCCUAAACGAUGUCAACUAGUUGUUGGGGAUUCAUUUCCUUAGUAACGUAGCUAACGCGUGAAGUUGACCGCCUGGGGAGUACGGUCGCAAGAUUAAAACUUAAAGGAAUUGACGGGGUCAUAGCUGUUUCCU